ensembl:snRNA U6 U6 spliceosomal RNA
AUGCUCAAUUCAGCAGCACGUAUAUUAAAAUUGGAACACUACAAAGAAGAUUAGAGUGGCCCCUGUGGCAAGGAUGACAGGUAACUUUGUGACAUGUUCCAUCUUUUU